GAGAAAGUAAGCAAGGGCAGACGGUGGAUGCCUUGGCUCUCGGAGGCGACGAAGGACGUGAUAAGCUGCGAAAAGCCCGGGGGAGGCGCAAAUAGCCGUUGAUCCCGGGAUAUCCGAAUGGGGCAACCCGGCAGGCUGAAGGCCUGUCAUCCCGUAAGGGAGGCGAACGUGGGGAACUGAAACAUCUAAGUACCCAUAGGAGGAGAAAAUAAACAAUGAUUCCGUAAGUAGUGGCGAGCGAACACGGAAGAGCCCAAACCCAUGUCGUCUAGGCGACACGGGGGUUGUAGGACCACGACGUGGCAAGAUAGAGUCAAGUGGAACGCCUUGGAAAAGGCGGUCAUAGAGGGUGAAAACCCCGUACACGACUGACGAUUGAAGCCUAGUGGCAUCCUGAGUAGCGCGGGGCACGAGAAAUCUUGCGUGAAACAGCGGGGCCCAUCCCGUAAGGCUAAAUACUCCCGAGAGACCGAUAGCGAACCAGUACCGUGAGGGAAAGGUGAAAAGAACCCCGAGCAGGGGAGUGAAAUAGACCCUGAACCCGUCUGCCUACAAGCGGUCGGAGCAUCGUCAAGAUGUGACGGCGUGCCUUUUGCAUAAUGAACCUACGAGUUACCUUCCCCGGCAAGGUUAAGUACCUAAGGUACGGAGCCGAAGCGAAAGCGAGUCUGAAGAGGGCGGCCAGUCGGGGGGGGUAGACGCGAAACCGAGUGAUCUACCCUUGGCCAGGUUGAAGGUUGGGUAACACCAACUGGAGGACCGGAUGGGUAAGCGUUGAAAAGCUUUCCAAUGAGCUGAGGGUAGGGGUGAAAGGCUAAUCAAACUCGGAGAUAGCUCGUACUCCCCGAAAUGCAUUUAGGUGCAGCCUCUUUAUAGUAUAUCGUGAGGUAGAGCGACUGAUUGGAUGCGAGGGCUUCACCGCCUAUCAAGUCCAGAUAAACUCCGAAUGCGCGAUAUAUAUUUAAAGGGAGUGAGGGCGCGGGUGCUAAGGUCCGUGUCCGAGAGGAGAAGAAUCCAGACCACCGGCUAAGGCCCCCAAAUGAUCGUUGAGUUGAACUAACGAGGUCGGAUCGCAGAGACAGCUAGGAUGUUGGCUUGGAAGCAGCCAUUCAUUUAAAGAGUGCGUAACAGCUCACUAGUCGAGCGAUCUGGCGUGGAUAAUAAUCGGGCAUAAACGAUCUGCCGAAGCCGUGGAUGUCGUAAGACAUGGUAGGGGAGCAUUCCAUGCCGCGUCGAAGAUGAGGGACGACCCUUGUUGGAGCGCAUGGAAAAGCAAAUGUAGGUAUGAGUAACGAUAAGGGGGGCGAGAAACCCCCCCGCCGAAAGACCAAGGUUUCCUGAUCAACGCUAAUCGGAUCAGGGUGAGUCGGGACCUAAGGCAAAGCCGAACGGCGCCGCCGAUGGAAGAAUGGGUUAAUAUUCCCAUACUGCCUCAUGGAGUGACGUGGAGACGGAGAAGUGACAGUCCUGCCGGCUGACGGAAUAGCCGGUUGAAGGGUGUAGAUAUUGAUUCCCGUAGGCAAAUCCGCGGGGAGAGUCGAACCUGAGAGUAUACGGAGCGCUUGCGCAACGUAAUAUGGACGUAACCAUGCUCCCGAGAAAAUCCGCUAAACUUAUCCAUGCGGCACCCGUACCGUAAACGGACACACGUGGUCGGGUUGAGAAUACUGAGGCGCUCGAGUGAUUCACGGUUAAGGAACUAGGCAAAUUGACCCUGUAACUUCGGGAUAAAGGGUCCUCGUCGUAAGGCGAGGCGCAGAGAAUAGGUCCAGGCAACUGUUUAACAAAAACACAUGGCUGUGCUAAAUGGAAACAUGAGGUAUACAGCCUGACACCUGCCCGGUGCUGGAAGGUUAAGAGGAGAUGUCAUCGCGAGAGAAGCGUUGAAUUGAAGCCCCAGUAAACGGCGGCCGUAACUAUAACGGUCCUAAGGUAGCGAAAUUCCUUGUCGGGUAAGUUCCGACCUGCACGAAUGGUGUAAUGAUCUGGACACUGUCUCAACCGUGAGCUCGGUGAAAUUGUAGUAUCGGUGAAGAUGCCGAUUACCCGCGAUGGGACGAAAAGACCCCGUGAACCUUUACUAUAGCUUUACAUUGAAUUUGGGCAGACGAUGUGUAGGAUAGGCCGGAGGCUUUGAAGGGGGUACGCCAGUAUCCUUGGAGCCGCCGUUGAAAUACGGCCCUUCGGUUGUUUGAGUUCUAACUCCCGGAUGGGAGGACACUGUAUGGUGGGUAGUUUGACUGGGGUGGUCGCCUCCAAAAGCGUAACGGAGGCUUCUAAAGGUGCCCUCAGACCGAUUGGUAACCGGUCGCAGAGUGUAAUGGCAUAAGGGCGCUUGACUGGGAGAGAUACAACUCGAUCAGGUAGGAAACUAGAGCAUAGUGAUCCGGUGGUUCCGCAUGGAAGGGCCAUCGCUCAAAGGAUAAAAGGUACUCCGGGGAUAACAGGCUGAUCAUUCCCAAGAGCUCAUAUCGACGGAAUGGUUUGGCACCUCGAUGUCGGCUCGUCACAUCCUGGGGCUGGAGAAGGUCCCAAGGGUUGGGCUGUUCGCCCAUUAAAGUGGCACGCGAGCUGGGUUCAGAACGUCGUGAGACAGUUCGGUCUCUAUCUAUCGUGGGCGCAGGAGAUUUGAGGGGCUCUGACACUAGUACGAGAGGACCGUGUUGGACGUACCACUGGUUUACCGGUUGUCCCGCCAGGGGCACCGCCGGGUAUCUAAGUACGGAUCGGAUAAGUGCUGAAAGCAUCUAAGUACGAAGCCGGCCUCAAGAUUAGAUCUCCCUCAAGGGUGGUUAUAGACGAUGACCUUGAUAGGCCACAGGUGUAAGGGCGGUGACGUCGAAGCCGAGUGGUACUAAUAGCCCGGGACUUUCCUCA
rnacentral:rRNA from 1 species